rnacentral:rRNA from 1 species
CCUACGGGAGGCAGCAGUGAGGAAUAUUGGUCAAUGGCCGGAAGGCUGAACCAGCCAUGCCGCGUGAAGGUCAGUGCCCUAUGGGCAUUAAACUUCUUUUGUGCGGGAGCAAUAAUGGUCACGUGUGGCCAGACGAGAGUACCGUACGAAUAAGCAUCGGCUAACUCCGUGCCAGCAGCCGCGGUAAUACGGGGGAUGCAAGCGUUAUCCGGAUUUAUUGGGUUUAAAGGGUGCGUAGGCUGUGAGGUAAGUCAGCGGGGAAAUGCCCCCGCUCAACGGGGUGAAGUGCCAUUGAUACUGCCUUGCUGGAAUGCGGAUGCCGUGGGAGGAAUGUGUGGUGUAGCGGUGAAAUGCAUAGAUAUCACACAGAACACCGAUUGCGAAGGCAUCUCACGAAUCCGCGAUUGACGCUGAUGCACGAAAGCGUGGGUAUCAAACAGGAUUAGAUACCCGAGUAGUC